GAAAUCCCGUCAUAUUUCGGGGUAGGUGAAUUGUCUACCGACCGAACAAAAGCAUUUAUCCCCGAGCGGGAAGAAAAACGAGUGCGCGCGACCUCUGGUCUUUCUAGCUAAACAAUAUUCGAUGUCAUCAAACGUUUUUUGUCCAGUAGAAUUCGCAAAGUUUCCGUCUCACUUGCCCAGUAAUUACGAUACGGGAUAAUUCAACGUUAU